rnacentral:siRNA from 1 species
AGAGAAUGGUCCAUUCUAUCCUA